AGAGCGAACGCUGGCGGCAGGCUUAACACAUGCAAGUCGAGCGCCCCGUAAGGGGAGCGGCGGACGGGUGAGUAACGCGUGGGAACGUGACGAGAGGUGGGGGAUAACCCUGGGAAACUAGGGCUAAUACCGCAUGUGUCCUGAGGGACAAAGUCGCAAGACGCCUUUUGAGCGGCCCGCGUCCGAUUAGCUAGUUGGUGGGUAACGGCCUACCAAGGCUACGAUCGGUAGCUGGUCUGAGAGGAUGAUCAGCCACACUGGGACUGAGACACGGCCCAGACUCCUACGGGAGGCAGCAGUGGGGAAUAUUGGCAAUGGGCGCAAGCCUGACCCAGCCAUGCCGCGUGGGUGAAGAAGGUCCUCGGAUUGUAAAGCCCUUUCGGGCGGGUACGAUGGUGACGGUACCCGCAAGGAACGAACGCCCCGGACAAACUUCGCGCCAGCAGCCG
rnacentral:rRNA from 1 species